CAGGGGCAAGCGGAUGGAGCUGUUGGCCUGUGGGGAAGAAAAAACAUAUAAUGAUGUUUGACAGGUUUGAGGACUCAGUUGUAUUGACCUAUAACAUGCACAGGCUGGGAUGGAAAUCUGUAUCAUUAAGUGGCUGCAGUGCAGGUUAAACAAACAGCAGAGGGCAGCAGCACGCCCUGGCUACACGUUGUCUACAGCAAUGUGGAGAAGAAGAAACGGGAUUACGACAGUCUCCAAAGAGCGUUGGAGGAAAAGAGCCGGAAACCGCUUCCACUGGAUGUUACACCAAAUAAAACAGAGAUUAAAUGUCAUCUUACAUGUCUGUGAUAAGAACUGUACAGUGUAUGUCCACAAUUAAACAAUUACAACCAAA